rnacentral:rRNA from 2 species
UACGUAGGUGGCAAGCGUUGUCCGGAUUUAUUGGGCGUAAAGCGAGCGCAGGCGGUUCCUUAAGUCUGAUGUGAAGGCCCCCGGCUCAACCGGGGAGGGUCAUUGGAAACUGGGGAACUUGAGUGCAGAAGAGGAGAGCGGAAUUCCAUGUGUAGCGGUGAAAUGCGUAGAUAUAUGGAGGAACACCAGUGGCGAAGGCGACUCUCUGGUCUGUAACUGACGCUGAGGCUCGAAAGCGUGGGUAGCAAAC